UCUGAUUAAGGCCUGAUGACGUAACUGGGUCAUCAUCGAUCGUCAUUGGCUGCUGUGAUCUCCAGUUCCAGCAGAACUAGCACUUUUAUGUAACGACUUAUGUGACACCUUGCAGAAAAUGAGCAGCUAAUUUUUAUGGACUUGACUGCUGCGUAGUGUCGCAGUUUUGCGGAUUUCUUAGUGUCGCUGUUUUUCACCUAAUCAGGAUUCAGUCUCUUAUGCAAUAAUUUCUAGUGUUUUUGGUUUGUCACAACCAAAACAUAGAGAGUUUGAUUCCAGAUUCCUAGAAGCUACAUCUGCAGUCUGCGAAUCAUUUUAUUGGUUGUUAAUCUAGUCGGCCGUGAAGGAUGCGGAAUGCCUCUGUAUUGAUCGAGAGAAAAUGAGGAGAAUCGAUCGAUCACGCCGCCACUACUGACGCUCAACUGACAAGAAACAAAAGUCCUGCGAGACGAUCGCUCAGUGCGGAAACCAUCAAAUUUCAUUGAUUUAUCAUUUUGCUGUGACUUUCAUUCGUAAACUGGGACAGCAGAACACGUCUGUUAAAAAGUAUCGGAAUAUGAUGUUAUUCAUAUCAUUUGAAGAAAACUGAUAAUAAC